rnacentral:sRNA from 1 species
UAGACCCAAAUUGCCCAAGGCCUUAGUGGCCAC